CAAUUGUCUCCUGAAGAUGAU
rnacentral:miRNA from 1 species